CUCCUCCUCUUCUUCCUCUGGAUGAGAAGAAAGAGGUCCUCCAGUAAAGCAUGUGGACAGGGAGGAAGGCCAGAUACUGUGGAGGAGCUACUUCAUGUUCCUGUGUAUGCAAACAUCCCUUGGCUCCUGCAGCACAGAGAGAACCAAUAGAAGAGCAGGAUGGCCAUCACCGUGCCAUCAUCCACACCUCUUGCUAAGACAUCCAGGAAUUGCCGCACUGAUUGGCUGGCUCCGUUGUCCAAUCAGACCAAACGGAUGAGGUCCUUUAAUCUGUGGUCAACAUAGACAAUAUGUUUGUAACUUAAUCAACCCAAUGGAUCUGCUGAAGUUCAGAUUCCCUCUCGAAGCUGCACAUCCUAAGGUGCUUAGGUUCCUGUGCUGUAUAAUGCUGUCUUCAACUUCUCUAUUAUUAAUAUGGGAUCUUUGCAUUUUAGUGAUUGUAUUUUUUUGAAUAUGGUGAUCCUGUGAUGGUCAUUGCCAUUAUUGCGCUAUAUUAAUCAAUUGAUAACGUGAAUAUGAAAGUAACCAAUCUCAUUGGACCUUUGAGAGGUAACCUAACGUGAUGCUUACAUUAACAAAAAAAAGUUUGUCAUUCCUCAUUCUGAUAGUUUUUGAUUUAGACUCUUUUUAAAUAAAUGACUUAUUUUAAUGAGUUGACUCCAGCUAUUGUCACGAUUCCUGAGGUUGGUCUAGUUGUAACACGCACUUCUACAUCAAGUAGAUGUUUAGAUAUGAGUAUUCAAUAGGUUUAGCAAGUAUUUAGAA